rnacentral:tRNA from 1 species
GCCUCGGUGGUGGAAUUGGUAGACACGCUAGACUCAAAAUCUUGUGAGAGCAAUCUCGUGCCGGUUCAAGUCCGGCCCGAGGCACCA